CACGUAGUUAGCCGGUGCUUAUUCUGCCGGUACCGUCAAGAACCACACGUAUUAGGCGUGGCCUUUUCUUUCCGACCAAAAGCGGUUUACAACCCGAAGGCCUUCUUCCCGCACGCGGCAUGGCUGGAUCAGGGUUCCCCCCAUUGUCCAAAAUUCCCCACUGCUGCCUCCCGUAGGAGUCUGGGCCGUGUCUCAGUCCCAGUGUGGCUGAUCAUCCUCUCAGACCAGCUACCGAUCGUCGCCUUGGUAGGCCUUUACCCCACCAACUAGCUAAUCGGACAUCGGCCGCUCCAAAAGCGUGAGGCCCUUGCAGGUCCCCCACUUUCAUCCAUAGAUCGUAUGCGGUAUUAAUCCGGCUUUCGCCGGGCUAUCCCCCACUCCUGGGUACGUUCCGAUGUAUUACUCACCCGUUCGCCGCUCGCCGCCAGGGUUGCCCCCGCGCUGCCGCUCGACUUGCAUGUGUAAAGCAUGCCGCCAGCGUUCAAUCUGAGCCAGGAUCAAACUCU
rnacentral:rRNA from 1 species